rnacentral:lncRNA from 1 species
UUGAAUAAAAGUUAUAUCGCCGGAUAUUCGGUUAUGAUCCAACUUAAUAUUAGUUUAUCUUGCUGGAUAUUCGCCGAUGUGGACAAUCCUUCUUCCCCCAAAACGUAUGUCAUCAACUGGAAUCCACGAAGCAUCGUAAAAAACUGUGCCUCCCACGAAAAGUAGUUUGAUUUUUGUAAGAGCACACACCUGAUGACCUUUGUGACAACCUUCGUGUUUGUUGGUUGUGUGAGUGCCUCACCAGUGAUCGCCGGAAUGCCUUACAAUGGUAACUUCAGAAAAGGGGACAUAAGAAAGUGGGUGUAGAUGGUAACAUAACCAAGGGGAGGAUAUGACGCAAGGUCGUUCCCAGGGCGCAUGAAGCUGACCGUAUCCACCGAUAUCUGUUCCAGCGAUUCUUUGAUCCCAUUGUCGGAGACGUUCGACUGAGGGUUAUUCUGAUCAGGCUCCAGAGAGAAAAGGUUGUCCAUCAGAGUAACGGUAACCUUGGGGCGCGUGAAAGAAGAAAAACCGGCCAUGGGAGCUGAAGAAGAAGGAGCGUUUAACCUGUGGAAGCGGAAAGUGGAAACCGAAGAUGAGAGGAAAAAGGAGAGGGGGAGCAUUUAUAUAGACCCAGGGCAUGGAAGUCAAAGCGUUGCGAGUACUUGAGCGGAGAUACGUGCCAUGGUCGACCGAGCGCGCGGCCCAGAGGGUAGCUUGAGGGCCCAAAACCUAUGCUAUUUGAAAAAAAGGGCAAAUGAGGGCACUCGACACAAGCACCGAACUUCUGAAAAAAUGCAUACGGUGAAACAUGACAGUCUCGGCAGGGGAACGAUCAAGGGUAAAAGAGGGUAACACACGACCGAACGACGUACUAAAGUGUAAAACAAUUCAGACCACCUCAUCGACGGGCGACGUUGUGUCAAGAACAGCUGCACGCACACGUUGCAUAAAAAAGUUGUUUUUUCAAAUCAUUAAAGAACCCGAAACAAGGAUGUUGAAACACGCAACAUGUUAAAAGUAAAGGGAGGAACAGUGACAACGACAACAAUAAGUAAUAGAACAAAACUUAUAACAACGUUAUUAGUACAAAAAUUACCACACUACGUACUCUUAAGUAAAGAAAAGUCAACAAGAAAGGAGAAGAGGAUGAGGAAUAGGAUCGCCCGAAGGAGGAUCCGAGGAUGGCCAAGACUGUGCCCAAAGAAAAGGAAGUGAUGAAGUACUGAAUCUGCUACCAGGGCUCGCGGUGGUGCGAGGUGAUGACGGAGGCUCUGGAAUCCACGACGCGCGCUCUACGUCAAAUACCUGGAAGGGGAGAAUAGGCGAUUCUCUUAGUGCUGCUCUAGUGAGAGUGGAACUUGUGUUGUGUCUUUAAGUU